CCGAGAUCGCACCACUGCAUUCCAGCAAAAAGUAAAAAGAAGGCUUAAUUCCUGGAAGCAGAAUUGACUGUCAAACAGAUUGCAUCAAGGUAUUUGCUGCUUUGAAGUUGGGUUGAAGGGUACAUUCAGACUCAGAUCCAAUUCCACUUCUUCCAUGACAUCUUACAUGAUUUUCUUCUGCUCCUGACUCUUCAUAUUUCUUAAAGAAACAAUUUGCCAUAAAGGAAAAGGCAAGGACUUUGAAAUCAGACCUGGGGCUUUCCCCCUACUUGGGUAAGCGAUUUGGUUCUCUGAGCCUUGGUUUCUACACCUGUGAAAUGGGAGUUCAUAAUACUUGCCUCAAAAAAAAAAAUUUGCACAAAUUAAGUAUACAAAAAGCCUACAGCACAAUACCCAACCUGGAGUAUUUCAUGCUGCUCAGUAAGUACUUGUCCAUCUGUUUCCUUAUGGGCUACACUGCACAAAUUGGCUAUGUAAUUUGGCACUUGUUUAUGUACCCGCUCAUGCUGUUACCAGCUUCUUUAUUGUUCUUUAUUGUGUGUGAUUGUUAUUCCUCCUCUCCAGACUACAUUGUAAUCUCUUCCAAUUCAAGGACUCUAUCUCCUUUGUCCUUUGUACCCAUAGUUCAAUGAAUGGUUUUUGAAGUUAGAGUAGCAGUUGUUUGAGAAAAGAUAAAAUACAUUCCUGAACUA
rnacentral:lncRNA from 1 species